AGAGUUUGAUCCUGGCUCAGGAUGAACGCUGGCGGCGUGCUUAACACAUGCAAGUCGAGCGAAGCACUUGCCAUUGACUCUUCGGAAGAUUUGGCAUUUGACUGAGCGGCGGACGGGUGAGUAACGCGUGGGUAACCUGCCUCAUACAGGGGAAUAACAGUUAGAAAUGGCUGCUAAUGCCGCAUAAGCGCACAGGGCCGCAUGGUCCGGUGUGAAAAACUCCGGUGGUAUGAGAUGGACCCGCGUCUGAUUAGGUAGUUGGUGGGGUAACGGCCUACCAAGCCGACGAUCAGUAGCCGACCUGAGAGGGUGACCGGCCACAUUGGGACUGAGACACGGCCCAAACUCCUACGGGAGGCAGCAGUGGGGAAUAUUGCACAAUGGGGGAAACCCUGAUGCAGCGACGCCGCGUGGAGGAAGAAGGUCUUCGGAUUGUAAACUCCUGUUGUUGAGGAAGAUAAUGACGGUACUCAACAAGGAAGUGACGGCUAACUACGUGCCAGCAGCCGCGGUAAAACGUAGGUCACAAGCGUUGUCCGGAAUUACUGGGUGUAAAGGGAGCGCAGGCGGGAGAACAAGUUGGAAGUGAAAUCCAUGGGCUCAACCCAUGAACUGCUUUCAAAACUGUUUUUCUUGAGUAGUGCAGAGGUAGGCGGAAUUCCCGGUGUAGCGGUGGAAUGCGUAGAUAUCGGGAGGAACACCAGUGGCGAAGGCGGCCUACUGGGCACCAACUGACGCUGAGGCUCGAAAGUGUGGGUAGCAAACAGGAUUAGAUACCCUGGUAGUCCACACCGUAAACGAUGAUUACUAGGUGUUGGAGGAUUGACCCCUUCAGUGCCGCAGUUAACACAAUAAGUAAUCCACCUGGGGAGUACGACCGCAAGGUUGAAACUCAAAGGAAUUGACGGGGGCCCGCACAAGCAGUGGAGUAUGUGGUUUAAUUCGACGCAACGCGAAGAACCUUACCAAGUCUUGACAUCCCUUGACGAACAUAGAAAUAUG
rnacentral:rRNA from 1 species